UGGCUCGGUUGGUAGAGCAUGGCAUUUGCAAAUGCCAGGGUUGUGGGUUCAAUUCCCAC
rfam:Salmo salar isolate Sally breed double haploid chromosome ssa07, whole genome shotgun sequence.